GACGAACGCUGGCGGCGUGCCUAAUACAUGCAAGUAGAACGCUGAAGAGAGGAGCUUGCUCUUCUUGGAUGAGUUGCGAACGGGUGAGUAACGCGUAGGUAACCUGCCUUGUAGCGGGGGAUAACUAUUGGAAACGAUAGCUAAUACCGCAUAACAAUGGAUGACACAUGUCAUUUAUUUGAAAGGGGCAAUUGCUCCACUACAAGAUGGACCUGCGUUGUAUUAGCUAGUAGGUGAGGUAAUGGCUCACCUAGGCGACGAUACAUAGCCGACCUGAGAGGGUGAUCGGCCACACUGGGACUGGGACACGGCCCAGGCUCCUACGGGAGGCAGCAGUAGGGAAUCUUCGGCAAUGGGGGCAACCCUGACCGAGCAACGCCGCGUGAGUGAAGAAGGGUUUCGGAUCGUAAAGCUCGGUUGUAAGUCAAGAACGGGUGUGAGAGUGGAAAGUUCACACUGUGACGGUAGCUUACCAGAAAGGGACGGCUAACUACGUG
rnacentral:rRNA from 1 species